UGACCUGUCCAGAAGAUAGUUCAUCAAUAUUUGCACAUUCAUUGAGCAAUAAUGAUAGCUUGCUUGACAUUAUUCUGAUGAAGUUUUUGAGGUGUAGCAGAAUUUUUUAAAACUUUUUAAUGAAAAUUUCAAUAAGAAGGCCGACCAUUCAAGUAUGUUACUAAGCCUGGAUUCACACAUGCUGGUUUGUGGUGCAGCUUAUUUUAUUAGUCAAAGCCAGGAGGGGAUAGAAAAGAGAGGAAGAGUAGUAAGGAAGGACGUGCACCUCUACCGGUUUGUAUUCUUUGCAGUGUUUGGCCCCAUAAACGUGCAUGUGUGAAUCCUCCCUUAGACCACGUUCACAUUUCCGUUUUUCACGGACACGUGUCAUCCACAGUUGCCACGUACCCAUUGGUUUUAAUGUGAUUGUUCACACAUCUGUUUUUCCACAGUGGAAAAAUCACAAAGACAUGCACUACUUAGGUCCGUGAUGUGGACCAAACACAGCCAUUGAAGUCUAUGGGUCUGUGAAAACCACUGACACCACACGGAUGGCCUCUGUGUUCUGUCAGUAGUUUUUCAUGGACCGUUGGUAGGAAAUGCUCUGGAAAUCAAUUUUCAGCUGAGCGGUGUCUAUGGAAUGUGUCACAUGAAGGGCAAAACACGGAUACAUGGACCAAACACUGAGCCUUCACUGACAGAUUGUCCACGGAUGUCAAACGGACACCGAAACGUAACGAGGCCUUAAAAGGGGUUGUCUGAGUGGUUAAUCCUGAUGACCUAUCUUUAGGAUGUGAUGGGUGAGGGUCUAACUCCCGGCACCACCGCCGUGAGCUCUACAACUUACCAAGCACGGCUCUGUCCAUUCAAUAUCGGCCGUGCUUUGCGUUGAUGCUUAUCCGGGAAUGGGAAUAAGCUGCACCUAGGUCAUGUGACCAAUGAUAGUGACGUCAG